rnacentral:rRNA from 1 species
UGGGGAAUUUUGGACAAUGGGGGCAACCCUGAUCCAGCAAUGCCGCGUGUGUGAAGAAGGCCUUCGGGUUGUAAAGCACUUUUGUCCGGAAAGAAAACGCCGUGGUUAAUACCCGUGGCGGAUGACGGUACCGGAAGAAUAAGCACCGGCUAACUACGUGCCAGCAGCCGCGGUAAUACGUAGGGUGCAAGCGUUAAUCGGAAUUACUGGGCGUAAAGCGUGCGCAGGCGGUCCGCUAAGACAGAUGUGAAAUCCCCGGGCUUAACCUGGGAACUGCAUUUGUGACUGGCGGGCUAGAGUAUGGCAGAGGGGGGUAGAAUUCCACGUGUAGCAGUGAAAUGCGUAGAGAUGUGGAGGAAUACCGAUGGCGAAGGCAGCCCCCUGGGCCAAUACUGACGCUCAUGCACGAAAGCGUGGGGAGCAAACAGGAUUAGAUACCCUGGUAGUCCACGCCCUAAACGAUGUCAACUAGUUGUCGGGUCUUCAUUGACUUGGUAACGUGCUAACGCGUGAAGUUGACCGCCUGGGGAGUACGGUCGCAAGAUU